rnacentral:rRNA from 1 species
AAUCAACGCUGGCGGCGUGCCUCAGACAUGCAAGUCGAACGAUUGAAGCUCUCUUCGGAGAGUGUAUAGAGUGGCGCACGGGUGAGUAACACGUAAGUAAUCUACCUUCGAGUGGGGAAUAACGUCCGGAAACGGACGCUAAUACCGCAUAAUGCAGCGGCAUCGCAAGAUGACAGUUAGUUAAAGAUUUAUCGCUUGAAGAGGAGCUUGCGGCAGAUUAGCUAGUUGGUAAGGUAACGGCUUACCAAGGCUACGAUCUGUAUCCGGUCUAAGAGGACGGUCGGACACACUGACACUGAAUAACGGGU